rnacentral:lncRNA from 1 species
AAGUAAAGGCCACCACAAUAAAAACGGAGAGAACCCUCUAGGACCCCACUCAACCCAUUGUAGCCGACAUAGCCCACUGAAGCCAUAUGGCCUACAGAAGCCAACUGAGGCUAACCCUCCAGGGACACCACUUGGCCUAUUGUAACUGACACAACCCACUAUAGUCAGCAUGGCCCACUAAAGCUACAUGAUCCACUGAAGCCGAUUGGGGCUAACCCUCCAGGGACCUCACUCAGCCCACUACAGUCGACAUAGCCCACGA